AUGAUUAUGAGGAGGUAUCUUGAAUCAACUUGUCUCACAGAUGGGAGGGAAAAUUUUAGGAUACAACACAAUGCUUAUUACUUGAGAUACAAUUUUAAAGGGGGGAUUACAAGAAAAGAGGAUAAAAAAUUACAAAUUUUUGGUACAGUUGACUUUUGGUUAACUUUUGAGCAUCAACUAGAUUUUGACUCCUGA